UUGAGCAUGUUCGUGUUGUUAUUGUGUUAUUGCGUCUUUUAUCCAGGACGGUUGUCGUGUUUCUAUUUGACUCGAUCAGCUGUUUUUAUUUUUACUUUAACAGAUCUAUUUUUUAUUUUUUAUAUUUUUCUUUGACUACAUGUUGUUUUCUGCUCGCCUGCUCUCCGCCCUUCUCCACCUCUCUCCUCUCCCCUCCCAGUGAACAUGUCAGUCUCCAUGGUAACAGACUCGUAUCCAUCUAUCGACUGGUCAGCGGCCUCCGUGACCCCGGCGGGCACAAAUGUCACAGGGUGGGAGCGUGACGCCCUUCUUGCGAUGGCAGAGGUCGUGGUGUUGUCUAUUAUCUUAGUGAUGGCGCUGCUCGGCAACGGGCUGGUGCUGGUGGUGUUGCUAAGGAGGAGGCGGCACCACAACCCACUGCACCAGUUCAUGCUCAACCUGUGUGUGGCCGACCUGGUGGUGGCACUGUUCCAGGUGUUGCCCCAGCUCGUUUGGGAUGCUAAGGGCCGUUUUCCUGGCCCGGACUUCCUGUGUCGCCUGGUGAAAUACCUGCAGGUGCUCGGGAUGUUCGCCUCCGCCUACAUGAUCGUUGCCAUGACGGUGGACCGGCACUACGCCAUCUGCUGCCCCCUGCAGGCUCACCGCAGCGGGGCCACCCAACGCUGGAACAGCUUCGUGCUGCUGGCCUGGGGGCUGUCGCUGCUGCUCAGCCUGCCACAGGUUUUCAUCUUCUCCCGUUCAGAAGUGGCACCGGGCGUCUACGAGUGUUGGGGGAACUUCACCGAGUCCUGGGGCCUCAAAGCCUAUGUGACCUGGAUGACGGUGGCUGUCUUCAUCCUCCCCGUCCUCGUUAUCACCGUCUGUCAGGUACGAAUCUUCAACGAGAUCCACAACAAUCUGUAUCUGAAGUCAGAGCGCCGUCUGUCUCCCACCUCCCUGCCUCCAUCCAGACGGGACAGCCAGAGAACAGGAGGAGCAGGAGGAGGAGGCAGCAGAGGGAGGUCCAGUCUCCCCCUGUAUGUUUCACCACUCAUGUUUAACAACCCUGUGAGUCACACCAGCUUUGACCCCGGAUCCACCUAUCAGCACCUGCCCAUGGGGCCGCUCCGGUCCAACAGCAUCGCCUCACACUGUGACAUCCACACCUACACUGCUGUUCACACAGCUGAUCUGCAGCCCGACGUGCUGCCCGACCCCGCGGCGCCCUCUGCUGUCUGCUGCCCCCCGCCCAAAGCUCUUCCAGCCCGCGGUGGAGAGGUGUCAGCGGCCAUGUCGAAGACGGUGAGGAUGACGCUGGUCAUAGUGCUCGUCUACUCGCUCUGCUGGGCGCCGUUCUUCAGCGUCCAGCUGUGGGCCGCCUGGGACCCAGACCCACCUCAGAACGGUGCAGUGUUCACCUUGCUCAUGCUGCUGGCCAGUCUGAACUCGUGCACCAACCCCUGGAUCUACUCCGCCUUCUCCAGCAGCGUGUCCACGGAGCUCCGUCUGCUGCUGCUCUGCCGUGCGCGCACACAGCGGCGAGGCUCGCUCCCGAACGACUCCACCACCACACACACCUCCACCACACACACCUCCACCUACUGAACAACACACAAAGACACACACUCCUGUCGUGUCACACACAAAUAAUAAACACACGCAGCCGUGUUUGCAUCUUGUAAAUCUGGAGAAUGAGACAAAAACCAGUGUUUACUGUUCAAAGUGAAGAGAGUUCGACAUUUUGGGAAAUACACUUCACAGAGCUAAUAUUAAAAUUAACAUAAUUAGUCAUAAUUCACGGUUUUAAGUUAUAUUAAGUCAUAAAAACACGGAGUGUGACUGUACCUGACUAUUUCUUGGCGCCAAAACCGUUGCCAGGCAACCAGCGCUAGCACAGUUAGCUACUGCUAACUUAUCCAAGAAGUAAAAAUAAAUAAUCGUUUUUACGGUUUUUUAAAUGUAUUUUUUUAAUAAACAAAUACAACUUGUGAAUUGUUGAGCUCUAUAUGUGCUGACAGACAUAUUAUACACACACUAAUAACAUGUUGUAUCUUGUUUUAUAUAGCAAACAAAGUCAAGUUAAGCUAAAGCGAGUGGCUAAAGCUAUUAUGUGGUCGGUGUUUCGGUCUAACGAGCGACCGUGUCAAUUGGUGACCGUUAGCCGUUGUGAUUGGAUUAUUAGUUAUGUUUUUAUAUAUAUAUUGUAACGUUAAUUAAAAUUUAAAUAAAAUAAAAAGGAAUUCAUGAGGACAGUUACGUAUCUUCAUGUUUUCAACUACAACAACUACACCGUUUAGCUGACAGUCACCAGGUAACGGGGUCACUCAUUUAACCGAAACACCGGAUUAUUUGUUGGCAAACGAUUUGUUGGCGAAUUCGUGGAUUAUUAAUUAAACGGACACGAUCACAUACUGAAAUGUUAUAAUUUACGUUAAAACGAAGCGGAGAAACGACAGUUCACUGUUUUACAGGUGUUGUGUAUGUUUUACAGGUGUUGUGUAUGUGACCACUCCCUAACGGUUUGGAGCCGUUGCCAGGCAACUAGCGUCAGCUCUAGGUGGUUACCGCACAUUAAACGUGAAUUAGUGAGCUUUAAAUGUAUUUAGUUCACUAGUUAACACAUUUAUAUUAAAAACAAAGUCUAAAGAUGAGAAAUUAUGGUUUAUUAAAUUAUUUCCUUGAGUAAAACUUCAACCGUGAACAGCUACAACUCGCUAAUUAACACAUUAUAUCUCACAAAUCAUAUUAAUCUUUACACCAAUCUAAGCAUAGCAAUGACAAAUAGUCGUUUAUAGUCAUUAUUAUAGUCAUUAUGUCAUGAUAUCAUCUACAUGAUAUCAUGACAUAAUGAUGAUACUUCUUGCCAAGAAGUAUCAUUAUGUCAUGAUAUCAUCUACAUGAUAUCAUGACAUAAUGAUGAUACUUCUUGCCAAGAAGUAGUCAGGUACACAGCCCAUAGGAAAAUGGUGAAUUAUUGGUUUUAACUUAUUUUUUUGUUGUUGUACAAAUUAAACAAACACGAUAUAUAAGGUGUAGAUUAGUGAGCUUUAGCGUGCUCGUAGACUGAUUUGGAUAACUAUAGUCUAUUUCCCACAAUGUCCAACUAUUGUUAGUGAGUUAGUAAAAUAGGUAGUUUAGAUACAAACUGUUGUAAUAAAUUUGAUAAAGUGUAAUUAUUGAAAAUACAAUCGACUCAUUUCUUUUUGACAGAACACAACAAAAGUAAUAAGAGUUGUUUGAAAACACUUUAUUCAUUCUCUCACCAGGCAUAAAAACACUUACAAAACAUAGAAACAUCUACCGUGAUGGAAAUAAAAUAAAAAAAGAAGUCACGUUACUUUACAGAAACUUAAUACAAUAAUUUGUUCAGGGUUUUUUUUGUUUUUUGUUGCUGUGACUGUAGAGUAUCAUUUUAAAAACAAAGUCCCCUGCACUGGAAAACACUCGACAUUCAGUGUCUGAAUGAAAUGGUUUAAAUGAAGUCUGUUACAGUGUCACCUUUCCUUUUCAUAGACCUGCCUUAAAAAGGCAAAAUAACUCAAGGUUUUAGUCAAUUCUGAAUUUAUAUAUUUUACAUAUCCAUCAUGUGAGAAUCAGGGUUCAGAGCAGGGGAAUGUGGACACACUGAAGCAACAGGCCUGUCUCUACUCUGUCCCCUGAAAACUGGACCUGUCCAUUAACCUGGACAGAAAUCUGCUUUAAAUUCAUGUCCACAGACGGGUGGACACUUCAGGUACGAGAGAAAAAAAACUUCUCCCAUUGAUACCAACAAUACCUUAAAAAAGACUAAAUAACAUUUAAUUUAGACAACAACUUACACUUUGUAAUUAAUCGUUUUGAAAAGUAAUACUUAUAUUUGGUCAGUAUAUUUACCAAGAAGUCUUUCAAACAAACAAAAAAGGGUUGCAUACAGAACGUACACCCUUUAACACUUUCAUUUACAAUCCCAUUUAAACAGAUUCUUCAGAUUAAAGAGGCCAUAUUCUAUUUUCUUUUAAUAUUACUGUCAACAAAUCCCAUGAAAACAUUAAAUCCAACAAUGUACUAGUCCGUCUAUCAAUACUGUCUGGCCUCGUACCUCGUCUGUGGUUCCUAUUUGUUCUGUGAAUCCUUCGGGUCACAGAUUUAUAAAAUAUUUCCUAAAGCAGCUGGGAACUUUUUUCUCAAAUGUUACUCAAACAGGAGAAAAAAUACACAUUAGUGAGUACUUACAGGGGCAGGACUGAGUCCAAGUAAACUACAGUGGAGCCUUAAUUUGGAAAACGAUAUGUUUGGUAGUCAGUGAUGUUUUAAUCCUGUUUGAACUGUGACAUCAAGCACACGUGUGAUCAAUUUAAAAGAUGAUUUUGCAAGAAAAGUUGUAAAAAUGUUAAAAUGUAAGACUGGAAAUCCGCAUUUAUCAAGACCACACAGCUAAAGUUAAAGAGACUUUCUCUCUUCACAAACUUUUUGAGCUUUUAUAGAACUUGUAACUUCUAGUAGCUCUUAACACGUCCAGAUUUAAAAUGAUUUUUACAUCUUUUAAUACUUUUUUCCUCAUUCUGGGAGAACAGAGUAAUACCAGAAUCAGAAAUAUUUUAAUAAUCCCAGGCGGAAAUUAUUGUGCCUGAACGUUACUUUACUUUCUUUAGACAAACUGUGAUUUUUUUGACUUGCAAAAUUAUCUUUAAAAUUGACAAACUCCAAAAUAAAAGUCCCAUGUGGCACACAGGAAGAGGAGGGACUGUCGACUUUACUUCUCGUCACAGAGAAACUAUUUCCCGUCUGUUACAUAAGGAGUAAUGAAUGAAUAAACGAGGGACAGCGCCAUAGUUUUUCAGCAACAAUGGAGCUCUAUGACACAGUCAGGCAUUGUCCACGCUGACAACACUUCGAGUCAUUGUUGGUCUUUUCAGGGGUUUUGUUGACAAAAAGAAACAUCUUUUACACAUAAUGUUUCUAGCGCUCAGGGCAGACAACAAAUCAUCAGUCUGAAUCUUUAAAUGACAAGCAUGGAGCAGAAAACGGUGAAGCAUCCUUCAAAAACGACGACUCGUCGUCAUCGUUGCACAAACGAUAAAAGUUAAAAACAUUCAUACUAAAUGGUGAAUUGUUUAAAACCCUUCAUUUAUUUUCCCAGAAGAGAAAAUAAACGUUUAUCGAGGCCGAAUCCGUCUUUUGUUUUUUUCCUCUGGUCUGAACGCAGACCAAAGCUUCUCCGACAGACGUCAGCUGAUCGAUAUGAAACAUCGUGGAUCUGACAGGAAACGCUCGACGCAGCUUAGAGACCGUAGAUACUGCAGCGGCACCGUUUCAAACAAGUGAAACGACUAUUUUCUCACACACACACUCACACACACACACCACUCUCACUUCAUA